rnacentral:rRNA from 1 species
AUGUUUUACAUCGGUCGGAGGAGGGGUUGCUUGGUCCUGUCAACGGUGUAUGGGCCACAUGAUGAUCGCCGCAAGCCGGUGUUUCUCAAUGACCUAGCCACAAUCCAUAAUUCCAUGGGAGGGCCGUGGAUUGUGAUUGGAGAUUUUAAUCUCAUCACAGAUCCGAAGGACAAAAGCAACAACAGAAUCUAUCGCCGAUGGAUGAAUAGCUUUCGACGCACACUUAACAGAUCAUGCUUGCAUGAGAUACAGUUGAUCGGCCGGCGGUUCACAUGGAGUAAUGAACAAAGCACACCAACGCUCGUGAGGUUGGAUCGUGCCUUUUGCAAUGUCGACUGGGGACUUGUCUUCCCUGGCGCAAAACUUCUGCCGCAAUCAUCCUCAAUUUCGGACCACUGUCCCCUCCUCCUA